GUUUAGGAGAAGAUUAAAGGACUACGGAUUGGCAACCGGUGACUUAGUUGUGUGGAAUUAUCGUUGUUCGUUAGAAGGUUGGUGCAAUAGAGCCUCUAGGUGACCACGAGUUUAUAAUCGGUUAAUGAUUAUGAUUUUAUAUUGAUUUAAGGGUUAUUUUCGGAGUUCUGUAAUUAAUGGACUCUCCGGACUGUUUGAUUUUAUUUUAGGAUUUGGUUUUGACUUGACUAUUUAUUUGCAAUAGUUUUUACCAAAACAAUGGUUUUCUAAAAAAAACAAA